ACCUCAAUCUUUAAUUGUUGGAUGGUCUGUUUUGAUAUUAUUUUGCUGUUGGUUGUCAGAUUUCGGAUUGCUACUAUUAUACUGUUAAAUUAAUUUGCAGUGGAAAAUUGAGGUAUAACAUAUUUCUAUUGGUUUCUUUAUUCUUAUAAUUUUUACAAGAGAAAUUGAAAAUGGAUUUACAACAGAAAGGCGUGAAAUUUUCAAGGCUCAAAGUUUUGUACUUUCCAGACCUGCACAACGAAUUACCUAUUUGAAAAAUGGAAUAUGGUUAAAAAUUGCUGAUGUAAUAGAGGAUUCAAGUACCAUUUACAAACAAGAUAUUGAAGAGAAUGUGCUCAAAGGAAAUGCAUAUGAAUUCUUUUUUGUUGACCAGGAUGCAACAAUUCUUUGGAACAAUAGUUAGAAUAAGUUAGUUAGGCCUAGUGGUGUACCAGCCAGAAGUAGAGGAUGACAAAGAAAAUCAACUAUGAAUAAUAUUCCAUGGAUAUGAUUCAUGUAUGAUGUAGUAGCCUACAGAAGAAAGAGAUGGACUAAUCUAAGAAAUAUAUUCAUUUUUUCAGUACA